rnacentral:rRNA from 1 species
GACGAACGCUGGCGGCGUGCUUAACACAUGCAAGUCGAGCGGAAAGGCCCUUCGGGGUACUCGAGCGGCGAACGGGUGAGUAACACGUGAGUAACCUGCCCCAGACUUUGGGAUAACCCUCGGAAACGGGGGCUAAUACCGGAUACGACACAGCUUCGCAUGGGGUCUGUGUGGAAAGUUUUUCGGUUUGGGAUGGGCUCGCGGCCUAUCAGCUUGUUGGUGGGGUGAUGGCCUACCAAGGCGACGACGGGUAGCCGGCCUGAGAGGGCGACCGGCCACACUGGGACUGAGACACGGCCCAGACUCCUACGAGAGGCAGCAGUGGGGAAUAUUGCACAAUGGGCGGAAGCCUGAUGCAGCGACGCCGCGUGAGGGAUGACGGCCUUCGGGUUGUAAACCUCUUUCAGCAGGGACGAAGCGUAAGUGACGGUACCUGCAGAAGAAGCGCCGGCCAACUACGUG